AUUGAACGCUGGCGGCAUGCCUUACACAUGCAAGUCGAACGGCAGCACGGACUUCGGUCUGGUGGCGAGUGGCGAACGGGUGAGUAAUAUAUCGGAACAUACCUUGUAGUGGGGGAUAACUAUCCGAAAGGAUAGCUAAUACCGCAUACGCUCUAUGGAGGAAAGCGGGGGAUCGUAAGACCUCGUGCUAUAAGAGUGGCCGAUAUCUGAUUAGCUAGUUGGUGAGGUAAAGGCUCACCAAGGCGACGAUCAGUAGCUGGUCUGAGGGGACGACCAGCCACACUGGAACUGAGACACGGUCCAGACUCCUACGGGAGGCAGCAGUGGGGAAUUUUGGACAAUGGGGGCAACCCUGAUCCAGCAAUGCCGCGUGAGUGAAGAAGGCCUUCGGGUUGUAAAGCUCUUUUGUCAGGGAAGAAACGGUUGUGGCUAAUAUCCAUGGCUAAUGACGGUACCUGAAGAAUAAGCACCGGCUAACUACGUGCCAGCAGCCGCCGUAACAC
rnacentral:rRNA from 1 species